rnacentral:misc_RNA from 1 species
AUUUCCCCAAUGGGUUCUCCGGAUCUCUGGAGACUUGUAGGGGUUGUGGGUUUUUCGAUGUGUCGUCUCCGGACGGGCGGUGCAGGGUAGUCGAGUUAGACUUGGUGGAAUUCCGUCGAUAGGAGUUCCGUCGAGUCUGGUCGGCUGUGUGUUGGACGGUGCAGGGUAGGCUGCUUGGACAUGGUCGGUUCGAGGAUCGAUUCGAGGGCCAGCCUGUCGAUGAUGUGUGAUGUAUGCGGUCUAGGGUAGGCUGGUUUGUCUUGGUUCAAUUUGAUGUCGGCUCCCGUGCAGGCCAGAGUGAGUGGGGUCCAGGGUAGGUACAGGGUAGGCAGCUUAGAUUUGGUCGAUCUGGAGGUCGAUUCUCCGGCUGGCGGAUCUGACACUGUCGAAACGAGAUGCGAGCGGUGUAGGGUAGGCUAGUUUCGUCCUCGCCAGGUUGCGAUUUGGACGAGAUAUGUGGUUUGGGGUAGGCUCUAGGGUAAGUAGAACUCGAGUUUCGUCGCUGACAGUUUUCUGUGGGUGUAUGGUAGGUACAGGGUAGGCAAAUCUCUCUCCGGCCAGCACUUGUCUGGUGGUCGUGAGUCGAUUUUUUUGUUUC